UACGUAGGGGGCAAGCGUUAUCCGGAUUCACUGGGCGUAAAGGGAGCGCAGGCGGCACGGCAAGUCCGGUGUGAAAGCCCGGGGCCCAACCCCGGGACUGCACUGGAAACUGCCGGGCUGGAGUGUCGGAGGGGCAGGCGGAAUUCCUAGUGUAGCGGUGAAAUGCGUAGAUAUUAGGAGGAACACCGGUGGCGAAGGCGGCCUGCUGGACCGAAACUGACGUUGAGGCUCGAAAGCGUGGGGAGCAAACAGG
rnacentral:rRNA from 1 species